UACUAUGGCUAAAAUUCAAGCUGUGCGUCUGUUCCUUAUAUUAUUUUUAUUUGUAGGGUGCAUCUUUGAAUGAACUUUAUACUAAAUAGUUUAUUGUAUCAGCCUCUCUUCUCUUUAUACUGAAUGUAAAUUCCACAAGGGGUAUGUGUUUGUAAUCUCAAGAGUUGGAAGAUGGAGGCAGGAGGAUCAGGAAGUUUAGGCUAGCCUCAGAUCCCUAGGAAGUUUGAGCCCAGACUGAUGACAUGAAAAAAAUAUAUAUAUAUUUUAAAGUAAACAAAACAGUGGUUUUUCAAUGGAGGGUUAUAUAAUGCAAGGUACCAAAAUGUAUACGUUUUGGACAGUUUUGAGUAUGCACCCAUAGGCUCUGAUUUCUUGGAUGUGUGGUGCAGCUCUGUGGUCUGGCUGUUGUUUGCUGCCGGGAAUCUGGCUUCCUUUGUCUGGAAGCUGUAAAAAACACAUCUAAUAGGAAAUAGCUGUGCACAGGAGAGGAAUUUCUCUCCCCUUUAAAAAGAGAAUCCACCUCUCAUGCAGUCAACUUUGAAAUGCUGCCUUUGGGUUCUCUGAUUGCUUAAAAAUAGCUUUUCAGUGAAGAACACCUUAUAUCUUAGCAUAUACAAAAAUAAACGGAUAAAUAAAUUAGAGCCCGCAUGGUUAUUUCUUUUUUCCUUUAGACACCUGCACAUCCUUCUAGUAGGAAUCCCCCUGGUGUGCGCUAAUCUGUGGGUUUUCUGUAGACACUGGGAAGCAGUGACUGUGCCUCCUCUUCCCCAAGCCUCUGGCCAGAUUUUCAAGCAGUCCCCAUUGUGCUCACGAUUGCAGUUAACUCUUCACUACCUAAACCUAACGUCUCAGCUCGCCAGCUCUGUCCUGUCUUCUUUACUCCCUUCAGCCUUAUCUCCCGAUCCUCUAUUCUUCCCACCUUCACCCAUUCCUCUCCCCUCCCCCUUCCCUCUCUCCCUCUUUCUCAUCUUUUAUCCUCUCGUCUUCUUCAUUCUGUCUCUCUUCCCUUCUCUCCGGUCCUUUCUCCUCCCUUCCCCUUUAGCUCUCUUGCCCCUGUCCUCCCCAUCCUUCUCCUUUCUAUACUGCAGAUCACUUCUUAGAGUUUGAUUCUAACCUGGGUGCCCGGUUGACUUCACCCUCAACAUUGCUGACUCAUUAGCAGCAGCUGCAUGCCUUCUUUCCAAUCUCCAGACUACACAAUCUUUAGAACCAUGGACUAGUUAGUUCAUUAGCUCUGAUGAUCAUGAUCACUUUGGAAAAUCUUCCUUUUCGUUUCAUAAUUGUGGAAGUUUCCUGAGCAUAUACGCCUCUCUUCUGUGAUACUCUCUGCUGUGUCCUCCAUACUGCUAACAGUGCUCUGGGGAGUCAGGGCUUAAUACAUUUAUUUCGUGCUGCAUAACAAUGAUGGCAUUGGGGGCACUUAAUAGAUAAGAGAUCAUGGUGUGAAUGCAAAAGGGUCUGAGUUCAAAUAUGAUUGUGCACAGGUGUGUGUGUGUGUGUGUGUGUGUGUGUGUGUGUGUGUGGUGUAAGGCAGGAAUGGCUGUUCUGAUGCUUGCAAAGUCACUGUUGCAGAGCUGGUUUUGGAUGUCUGGCCAGCCAGACUAGCUGAAAGUGACCAGCAAGUAAGAGAAGAAAAAGAGUGACCAAGGCAGAGGAGCCACAGCCCAUUAAUCCCAGCACUCGGGAGGCAGAGGCAGGCAGAUCUCUGAGUUUGAGGCCAGCCUGGUCUACAGAGCAAGUUCCAGGACAACUAGGGCUACACAGAGAAACCCUAUCUCAAAAAUAAACAAACAAAAUAAUAAACAAAGAAACAACAAAACAAAACAGUGACUGAAGAGAACACCAUCCUUGACAACUGUUCUUUACAUGUGCAUGCACAUUCAGGCUCACACACAUGAACACACACACAAAAAACAACCAGAUGUUUUCACUGGCAUUUCUUCUAAUUUUUCCCCAAGUGAGUGCAUUUCUGCUCAGGCCUUUCUUGCCCCAUCCCACCUUUGCCAGAUCCUAUUCUCACCUUCUCUAGCUGAUUGUGAAGUUUGUUGGCUUUUACACCCUUUUUUAAUAGAUGACUUCACUCUUGCCGUGUAAGACUGGGAGUUCUAAACUUCAGAUACAUGCUGGCAUCAUAUAGGCAGUUAAUAAAUAUGGGCAGAGACUUGGAUACUUCCCCUUGGAAGGAUUGAGCCCAGGGUACACUUGAGUGAAGAUCCUUCAAGUCAGAAACAAGGCAGCCUCCCUGUGUUAACUAAGUCCUCUCUCUCCACAUCAGUUUAUCUAGGAUAACCUUGUUACCCCAAAGAAAUUAUAUAUUCUUCAACUUUAGUCCACACACAUGCUGAUAUACACCCCCAACACACAUAAACACAUAUCCAUACACAGGCAAUCAUCAUCAUCCUUGUGAUUUAAGGAGUAGGCGAUACACAAGAGACAAUAAACAAAAAUAUUUAAAAACCCUAGAAAUAGUAAACAAACUAGAAAGUAUGUCAGUCAAUUGUGCUUGUAUAUAUGUAUAUGUGUGCCAUCGUUUUAGAUUAUUUAAUCUUUUAAUUUUUCUAUUACAAUCACACAUAUAUACACAUAUAGAGAAUGACUAAUAAUUAACAAAUCUCAACCAUGCACACCAGCAGCAGCAGCAGCAGAACGGAAACUUUGCAAUGCAGCCGGGAGAAGCAUCACUUGUCAGAUCUCUGGGCAUGCAGUCCCCAAAGCAGAUGUCAUCUUGUGUCGCUGGGAAGUCAAGAUGCUCAUGGUGCAUCCAUGGUGCACAAGCUCUCAUGCUUGAGUUCCAAAUGAGCAGACAUGAGCCAGUCAGCAGGAUGCCAGG
rnacentral:lncRNA from 1 species